AGUGAACGCUGGCGGCAUGCCUAACUCAUGCAAGUCGAACGGUAACAGGCCCGCAAGGGUGCUGACGAGUGGCGGACGGGUGAGGAAUACAUCGGAAUUUGCCCAGUCGUGGGGGAUAACGUAGGGAAACUUACGCUAAUACCGCAUACGACCCAACGGUGAAAGCGGGGGAUCGCAAGACCUCGCGCGAGUGGAUGAGCCGAUGUCGGAUUAGCUAGUUGGCGGGGUAAAGGCCCACCAAGGCGACAAUCCGUAGCUGGUCUGAGAGGAUGAUCAGCCACACUGGGACUGAGACACGGCCCAGA
rnacentral:rRNA from 1 species